GCACCUUAGAGACCAACUAAGUUUGUUCUGGGUAUAAGCUUUCAUGUACAUGCACACUUCUUUAGACACACAUGCACACGAAAGCUUAUACCCAGAACAAACUUAGUUGGUCUCUAAUGUGC